AUAUCAAUAAGCGGAGGAAAAGAAACCAACAGGGAUUGUCUUAGUAACGGCGAGUGAAGCGACAAAAGCUCAAAUUUGAAAUCUGGCACCUUCGGUGUCCGAGUUGUAAUUUGAAGAAGGUAACUUUGGAGUUGGCUCUUGUCUAUGUUCCUUGGAACAGGACGUCACAGAGGGUGAGAAUCCCGUGCGAUGAGAUGUCCAACUCUAUGUAAAGUGCUUUCGAAGAGUCGAGUUGUUUGGGAAUGCAGCUCUAAGUGGGUGGUAAAUUCCAUCUAAAGCUAAAUAUUGGCGAGAGACCGAUAGCGAACAAGUACAGUGAUGGAAAGAUGAAAAGAACUUUGAAAAGAGAGUGAAAAAGUACGUGAAAUUGUUGAAAGGGAAGGGUUUGAGAUCAGACUUGGUAUUUUGUAUGUCUUGCUUUCGGGUGGGGCCUCUGCAGUUUACUGGGCCAGCAUCGGUUUGGACGGUAGGAUAAUGACAUUGGAAUGUGGCACUACUUCGGUGGUGUGUUAUAGACUUUGUUGAUACUACCUGUCUAGACCGAGGACUGCGUCUUUGACUAGGAUGCUGGCAUAAUGAUCCUAAACCGC
rnacentral:rRNA from 2 species